rnacentral:sRNA from 2 species
GCAAUGGCCGACUAGGGUUCCGGCUCGCCGAAAGCGAGUGGCUGGUCCGAGAGUUGGCGACCUCCAGUUGAGGUUACACGGCGGGAUAAAAGCCCGGGAGAC